rnacentral:ncRNA from 1 species
UUACCAAAGAUUAAGCCAUGCAUGUCUAAGUAUAAGCACUUGUACUGUGAAACUGCGAAUGGCUCAUUAAAUCAGUUAUCGUUUAUUUGAUUGUACCUUUACUACUUGGAUAACCGUGGUAAUUCUAGAGCUAAUACAUGCGGAAAGUCCCGACUUCUGGAAGGGAUGUAUUUAUUAGAUUCAAAACCAAUGCGGGUUCUGCCCGGUCAUUUGGUGAUUCAUAGUAACUGUUCGAAUCGCAGGGCCGCGCGCCGGCGAUGUUUCAUUCAAAUUUCUGCCCUAUCAACUGUCGAUGGUAAGGUGUUGGCUUACCAUGGUUACAACGGGGACGGAGAAU